rnacentral:rRNA from 1 species
UACAGAGGUCUCGAGCGUUAGGCGGAAUCACUGGGCUUAAAGCGUGUGUAGGCGGAUCGGUAAGUACCUUGUGAAAUCCCACAGCUUAACUGUGGAACUGCUCGGUAUACUGCCAGUCUUGAGCCAGCUAGGGGCUACCGGAACAAAUGGUGGAGCGGUGAAAUGCGUAGAUAUCAUUUGGAACGCCAAUGGUGAAAACAGGUAGCUGGGAGUGUGCUGACACUGAGACACGAAAGCCAGGGGAGCGAACGGG